UCGAGAAUUUUUCACAAUGGGCGCAAGCCUGAUGGAGCGACGCCGCGUGGGGGAUGAAUGGCUUCGGCCCGUAAACCCCUGUCAUUUGCGAACAAAUUGCUUUACCUAACACGUGGAGCAUUGAUAGUAGCGAAAGAGGAAGGGACGGCUAACUCUGUGCCAGCAGCCGCGGUAAUACAGAGGUCCCAAGCGUUGUUCGGAUUCACUGGGCGUAAAGGGUGCGUAGGUGGCAGGGUAAGUCGGAUGUGAAAUCUCCGAGCUCAACUCGGAAAUGGCAUUGGAAACUACCCAGCUCGAGGGUUGGAGGGGGGACUGGAAUGCUUGGUGUAGCAGUGAAAUGCGUAGAUAUCAAGCGGAACACCAGUGGCGAAGGCGAGUCCCUGGACAACUCCUGACACUGAGGCACGAAAGCUAGGGGAGCAAACAGGAUUAGAUACCCCUGUAGUCC
rnacentral:rRNA from 1 species